AACAUGUUGGACAUCUGUUUAUAUUUUAGGAUGCAUGGAAUAAGAUCAGUUGGCCUUGUUCUCCUGGUUCUAGGUUUAGUACAGACCAGGGACCUGGAGCAGGUUGAAGGUCUGGACGCAAUCUCAGGGUUUGGAGCUAGAAUUAUCCACGGAUUGUUUAAUAAACCCCGGAGUUUGAGAAGGAUAGAUGCUGAUCCAGAUCUACCUGGAGCAGGGCAGGACGACGGAGACAGCGUAGAAGCUAGAUUCUUCCUCCAGGAGAAACUUUGCUCACUAGGGCUCUCCGAUUGUGGAAAAAGUGAUUCCUUGAAGUACGUUCAACCUGUUCAAGUUCGGCCUGUGGGUCAACCCCUUCCUGCUCAGCUGGCAGGCAACCUGCCUCAUAUACCCACCCAGAUCGUUGGAGCAGACUAUCAUCCACAUGCGUCCUAUGGUCCUCAGCCUUCAUACAAUACCCCGUCCUACAACCCACCGUCCUAUCCCAAACCCUUGGACGAAUAUAGCGCUCCGUCCCCAUACCAGCAUUCGUCCCAUCAGGAGGAAGGUUCAUUUUACUCCGCUCAAACUUCAACCUAUGAAGCUCCUAAACCUAGCUACAAUGUUCCAAGUCCCUCCUAUGAUGCUCCAACCGUAGUUAUUGCUAAAACCAGUCCUCGUCCUGUUUACACGAGUCCUAAACCUGUUUAUAAACCCAGCUCCGAGCAUCAACAUCAACACUUCGCCACAAAGGUCGACAAUCGUGAUUUUGAGAAAAACUCCGAAACGGAUAAAACCUACUACCCAGUCCCCGCUACUACACCUAGGACUAGGAUAUCUCAGUCUGGAUCCUCCUCUCCUCCCCCCUGCUCCUGUGUUCCUGUAUCCCAGUGUAAAACCGGAAAUAUAUUCCUACCCACUAAACAAGAUUACUCCUCACUAGUGGAUCCUAGGCAGAAAGCAGUCAGGAACCAGAUACUGGCAAACCGUUCAAACCAGUUUAAACGAUCAAGAUCUCUGAAGUUUGGAGAAAAGAAAGACGGAGAGGAGUCAACAACAGAAUCCGGAGUUACUGAAACUACUCUUGUUCCUGAUUCUUCUGAUACAACCACUGUCCAGACUGAGUCGGAGACAGAGGCUUUGGUUGAGUCUGUCACAGAGUUGUCUGUUGAACCUGUAACAGAGAAGAAAGAGAUUUUAGCAGUUAAUUUCCCUUCCCGCAAAAGAAGAGACUCUGAAAGCGAACCUUCAAAAAAGAGUGCUCGUCUUGAAAACACCUUUGUACCGGAAGCAACAGAAGCUGUCACUGAUGUUACCAAAGCUGUUACUGAAGGAAGUGGACCUGAAACUGUGAAUGGUGAAUCUACUACAGAGGUUGGAGCUACAGGACAACCUGGUGUUGAUACAACUGUUCAACCUGAAGCAACUGGACGUGAUGAACCAUUUAAUAUUGAAUCUAGAGAUACAGAUAUUGAUAUUGUUUCAGAUCUCAAGCUGAAGCUGAAAGAGGAACGGAGGAAGGAGAGGAUAAAGAAUAGGAAAGAGGUCGCUAAAAAGGGAAACAAGAAGAACACUGAUGAUAUUCCAAAUGAAUCUGAGUUUGAGGAAGAAGAUUUUGACAACAAAUCCUUUGAUAGUUUGAGUUCAUUUACAUCCGAUGUGACUAACCAAGUGGGAUCUGUUGGCAACUCUGUUACAUCCGGAGUAUCGAAAAUAUUCGGAGAUUUGACUAACUUAAUCGGACAGUCGACAUCUACCGGUCAACUUCAACCCACUGUAGGAUUUUCUUUUGGACUUCCCCAGUAUGGGCCCGGGUAUACAGGACAAACUAUUAACCCUCUAGGGACUGGAGGCGCUGUAAACCCCUACUUUACCUCCCCGGAUGGUCUUCCCCUUGGCCCUGUUAACCUAAACCCCUUGUUCUCCUUCCAGACCGGAACCAACGACAAGGGUGACCUCGCUAUCAAGCCCCUGGUCAACCUCCACCUAACUCCCAACGGCUGUGGAAUCCUCGGCUGCGACACCGCGGAGUACAACGAGUUCGGAGAGCCAACCCUAAGGAAGACUAUCAAGGAUGUAUUGAAGAAUCCGUUUGGAUUUCUCAACGAUAAAACUACCUCCGAGUAUUCUGCACCAAGUACUAAUUAUCAAGGAUCUAACUCUGGUUAUCAAAGCUCAGGUUAUCAGACUGGAUUAAACUCAAACUAUCAAACCGGGUUCAAUUCUCAGCUUACCAAGGAUAUAUAUGGAGCUCCAUCAUAUAACACUGGUAACAAUUAUGGAGCUCCUUCUUACAACCUAGGAAAUAGCUACGGAACUCCUUCUUAUAACACUGGAGACAGUUAUGGAGCUCCCUCUUAUAACACUGGAGAUAGUUAUGGAGCCCCGUCUUAUACAGGGCCUAGCUCCGGUUAUGAAGCUCCCAAACCUUCCUAUACUGCUCCCAAACCCUCUUACACAGCUCCCAGCAGCGGAUACGGGGCUCCUAAAGAUGAAUAUAUGGUUCCAAGUGCCUAUGUUCCUCCUAAAGACACUGCACAUCAUGAUGAUCAUCAACACCAUGAUGAUCAUGAGUCCAAGGGCCAGAUAAAUGUCCACCACCACUACUACCAUACCGAGAACCUACUGAAGGACUCCUAUGACAGUUCCGAUGAGAUCUUUAAACGUGAAACGGUUCCUAAUUCCUCCGGGACCCUGCCAGCUAAUAUGCCUGCUGGAGCUGUCAAGGUUCAAUCCAACUCCGGGGUUGUAUCUGUACAGGGAGCAGGUUUAAGGUUUCCUACAAGUAGAAAGGUAGACAUGGAGAACCAGGAUAGCCAAGCAACCAGGGAUAAAAGGCAACCUGAAGGCGCACACAGUGGUCACAGCUCUAAUCGGGUUCAUCAUGGUGAAAGAAUGCCUCACAAGAUAGAUGUUCAAGAGAGCACACAGAAGUUGGCUGCACAAUUAACUUCACAGGAGUUUGGUUCCAGUGAUUCUAUUGCUCCAACCUGCGGAGGACCUGGGUCAGGAUAUGUUUGCUGUAGGAACUACUAGUUAAUCUACUACCUAGAGUAGACUCUACUAGUUAAUCUACUACCUAGAGUAGAUUCUACUAGUUAAUCUACUACCUAAAGGAGAUUCUACUAAUUAAUCUACUACCUAGAGUAGACUCUACUAGUUGAUCUACUACCUAGAGUAGACUCUACUAGUUAAUCUACUACCUAGAGUAGAUUAUACUAGUUAAUCUACUACCUAAAGUAGACCCUACUAAGUACUUGUCUACCUAGAGUAAAGAACCUGCUAAAUCUGAACUAUUGGAUUAAUUGAAAAUUAUACAGUGUAUCUCUUGUGGAGAAAUAUUCCUUUGUUUUGGUGAUUUGUGUUUUUUGACUUCUAGUCAUGUUAAUUUCGUUAUUUAUUUAUUUAUUUAUUCAUUAGUUUUAAAUAUAAUUUUAUUGUUUCCUUUAA
rnacentral:misc_RNA from 1 species